CAGUCGCCACGGUAAUACGGAGGGGGCUAGCGUUGUUCGGAAUUACUGGGCGUAAAGCGCACGUAGGCGGCUUUGUAAGUUAGAGGUGAAAGCCCGUGGCUCAACUCCGGAAUUGCCUUUAAGACUGCAUCGCUUGAAUCGCGGAGAGGUGAGUGGAAUUCCGAGUGUAGAGGUGAAAUUCGUAGAUAUUCGGAAGAACACCAGUGGCGAAGGCGGCUCACUGGACGCGUAUUGACGCUGAGGUGCGAAAGCGUGGGGAGCAAACAGGAUUAGAUACCCCCGUAGUCCCUGUCUCUUAUAC
rnacentral:rRNA from 1 species